UUGACCUCGGAUCAGGUAGGGAUACCCGCUGAACUUAAGCAUAUCAAUAAGCGGAGGAAAAGAAACCAACCGGGAUUGCCUCAGUAACGGCGAGUGAAGCGGCAAGAGCUCAAAUUUGAAAUCUGGCCCCCUCGGG
rnacentral:rRNA from 5 species